rnacentral:snRNA from 1 species
GUGCUCGCUUCGGCAGCACAUAUAUUAAAAUUGGAACGAUACAGAGAAGAUUAGCAUGUUGCUUAUACUCGCUCUACAACAAAAUUAGAGAUAAGGGCAAAAUAGUU